AGAGUUUGAUCAUGGCUCAGGAUGAACGCUAGCGGCAGGCCUAAUACAUGCAAGUCGAACGGUAAGGCCCUUUCGGGGGUACACGAGUGGCGGACGGGUGCGUAACGCGUAUGCAACAUACCUUCAAGCGGGGGAUAUGCCAGGGAAACUUGGUGCAACACCCCAUAGCAUUUCGGGACCGCAUGGUCUUGGGAUUAAAUAUUUAUAGCUUGGAGAUUGGCAUGCGUGACAUUAGCUAGUUGGCGGGGUAACGGCCCACCAAGGCGACGAUGUCUAGCUGGUCUGAGAGGAUGAUCAGCCACACUGGGACUGAGACACGGCCCAGACUCCUACGGGAGGCAGCAGUAGGGAAUAUUGGACAAUGGGGGAACCCUGAUCCAGCCAUGCCGCGUGAGGGAAGAAGGUCCUCUGGAUUGUAAACCUCUUUUGGCGGGGGACAAACCUGCACUAUACGUGCAGCUGAGGGUACCCGCAGAAUAAGCACCGGCUAACUCCGUG
rnacentral:rRNA from 1 species